rnacentral:rRNA from 1 species
GAAGGUGUGCUGUGAGGCAUGCUGGAGGUAUCAGAAGUGCGAAUGCUGACAUAAGUAACGAUAAAGCGGGUGAAAAGCCCGCUCGCCGGAAGACCAAGGGUUCCUGUCCAACGUUAAUCGGGGCAGGGUGAGUCGACCCCUAAGGCGAGGCCGAAAGGCGUAGUCGAUGGGAAACAGGUUAAUAUUCCUGUACUUGGUGUUACUGCGAAGGGGGGACGGAGAAGGCUAUGUCAGCCGGGCGACGGUUGUCCCGGUUUAAGCGUGUAGGUGUGUGUUCCAGGCAAAUCCGGUUCACUUUAACACUGAGGCGUGAUGACGAGGCACUACGGUGCUGAAGUGAUAAAUGCCCUGCUUCCAGGAAAAGCCUCUAAGCAUCAGGUAACACGAAAUCGUACCCCAAACCGACACAGGUGGUCAGGUAGAGAAUACCAAGGCGCUUGAGAGAACUCGGGUGAAGGAACUAGGCAAAAUGGUGCCGUAACUUCGGGAGAAGGCACGCUGAUAUGUAGGUGAAGCCCCUGCGGGCGGAGCUGAAAUCAGUCGAAGAUACCAGCUGGCUGCAACUGUUUAUUAAAAACACAGCACUGUGCAAACACGAAAGUGGACGUAUACGGUGUGACGCCUGCCCGGUGCCGGAAGGUUAAUUGAUGGGGUUAGCGGCAACGCGAAGCUCUUGAUCGAAGCCCCGGUAAACGGCGGCCGUAACUAUAACGGUCCUAAGGUAGCGAAAUUCCUUGUCGGGUAAGUUCCGACCUGCACGAAUGGCGUAAUGAUGGCCAGGCUGUCUCCACCCGAGACUCAGUGAAAUUGAACUCGCUGUGAAGAUGCAGUGUACCCGCGGCAAGACGGAAAGACCCCGUGAACCUUUACUAUAGCUUGACACUGAACACUGGUCCUUGAUGUGUAGGAUAGGUGGGAGGCUUUGAAGCGUGGACGCCAGUCUGCGUGGAGCCGUCCUUGAAAUACCACCCUUUAAUGGCUGGUGUUCUAACGUGGACCCGUGAUCCGGGUUGCGGACAGUGUCUGGUGGGUAGUUUGACUGGGGCGGUCUCCUCCCAAAGAGUAACGGAGGAGCACGAAGGUUAGCUAAUCCUGGUCGGACAUCAGGAGGUUAGUGCAAUGGCAUAAGCUAGCUUGACUGCGAGAGUGACGGCUCGAGCAGGUGCGAAAGCAGGUCAUAGUGAUCCGGUGGUUCUGAAUGGAAGGGCCAUCGCUCAACGGAUAAAAGGUACUCCGGGGAUAACAGGCUGAUACCGCCCAAGAGUUCAUAUCGACGGCGGUGUUUGGCACCUCGAUGUCGGCUCAUCACAUCCUGGGGCUGAAGUAGGUCCCAAGGGUAUGGCUGUUCGCCAUUUAAAGUGGUACGCGAGCUGGGUUUAGAACGUCGUGAGACAGUUCGGUCCCUAUCUGCCGUGGGCGCUGGAGAAUUGAGGGGGGCUGCUCCUAGUACGAGAGGACCGGAGUGGACGCAUCACUGGUGUUCGGGUUGUCAUGCCAAUGGCACUGCCCGGUAGCUAAAUGCGGAAGAGAUAAGUGCUGAAAGCAUCUAAGCACGAAACUUGCCCCGAGAUGAGUUCUCCCUGAGACUUUAAGUCUCCUGAAGGAACGUUGAAGACGACGACGUUGAUAGGCCGGGUGUGUAAGCGCAGCGAUGCGUUGAGCUAACCGGUACUAAUGAACCGUGAGGCUUAACCUUACAACGCCGAAGCUGUU